UACGUAGGGUGCAAGCGUUAAUCGGAAUUACUGGGCGUAAAGCGUGCGCAGGCGGUUUCGUAAGUCUGUCGUGAAAUCCCCGGGCUUAACCUGGGAAUGGCGAUGGAGACUGCGAGGCUAGAGUUUGGCAGAGGGGGGUAGAAUUCCACGUGUAGCAGUGAAAUGCGUAGAGAUGUGGAGGAACACCGAUGGCGAAGGCAGCCCCCUGGGCUGACACUGACGCUCAGGCACGAAAGCGUGGGGAGCAAACAGG
rnacentral:rRNA from 1 species